rnacentral:lncRNA from 1 species
CGGUAUUUAGAAAUCUAAUUCAAUGCUCUACUUGAAAAUCUCUGAUCAUGCUUUUGGAUCAGAGCUUUUCUCAAAUAUUACAUCCUUUCUAGGAUUGUAUUUAUUUGCAAAAGCAUUUCCUUAGAAGUUUUAAAACUGUUUAAUAUAUUCAUUCUUUGUUUUUAUAGGCAUACUGAGUAAAGCCCAUAUUUUCAAUUUCAUAUACAUGUCUGCCAGGAAAAAAAUUGUUUUCAGCAUGGGACACAUCUUCUGUAAUGACUCCUUGUCAAAUAUGUACUCUUCAAAAUAAAGUACAAAAAGUUGUGAGUUUUCCAAUCUUAGAGGAAAAGAGAGAUAUGUUUAUCCACUACAGAUAGAGGAAAUGGUGCAAUUCACACACCUGCAGAAACUCCAGGUGUGGUUGAGCAUGUGAUGGAUGAUUGAACCAAAGGUUUCCUUUCAAGGGUAGAAGUUUAAAAUAUGGAGAAGAUCAGUGAAAGAGCAGAGCAUAGACGUAUGCACUUGGAAGAAGGAAGUAAAAGCCGAACAAUCCACCAGCAACUCAUGAGCUAGCAGCAGAAAAGAUGACAGAGCUGGGGCUGGCAGAGCGAGGAAUGAAAGAGAGAGAACAGAUCAGUGUUCAGUUUGAAAGAGC